rnacentral:lncRNA from 1 species
CAUUUUGGAGGACUGAACUAACAUGUCCAUUCUGUUUCCUUACUGAGAGAAGGGAUUUAGGAUAGGGAGGGAAAAAAACCAACAUUUUCUGAGUCUAUUAUCUAUGACCAGACCUUUUUAUGCUGUUUCCUUGAUAGCAUCUCACUCUCUAGCCUUUGAGUCAACCUUUUUGAAGUUUAAUUUUUCGUUCUGAGAUGAUUUUAGAUUUUCAGAAGAGUUGUAAAUAUAGUGCAGACAUUUUUAUCUUCACUCCGUUCCCUCUAAUGUUAAAAUCUUGCAUGACCAUGUUCCUUUCUCCCAAAAAACCUCACUGGCACUACACUGUCAACCGAGCCACAGGCUGUCCAGGUGUCACAAGUGUUUCCUUGAAUGUCUUUCUGUCUGUCCCAGGAUCCAAAAUCAGGAAAGCACAUUGCGUUUAGUCAUGAUGACUAUUUAGUCCCCUUGGGUCCGUGACAAUUUCUGUCCUUUCAUUAUGGUUUUGAAGAGAACUGGUCAGGUAUUUUGGAGAUUGUCCCUGGGUUUGGGUUUGUGUGAUAUUUUCUCAGGGUUGCCCUGGGAUUAUGAAUCCCGGGGAGAAUGUGGCAGAAGUAGAGUGUCUUCACCUUCUGGGAGUGGAUCGAAGAAUUUGUGGACUUAAGUUUAAAACAAAACCAAACAAACCACAGUGAUUGUUUUUAUGGGGGGUAGGUAUCUUGAGUCUAUGCCAAUCUUCUGUCGCGGAGCAUCGUGACGGGACGCACCUGCAGCAGUUCACUAUGCUGUUCUCAUGGAGAUAGUCAUUCCCUCAUUCCUUCCAUGUUUAUUAUUUGGGAUUUUUAAGGGAAGUUUGUUCUUCCCAUUUAUUUAUUUUUCAAUCAUUUAUUUAUAUCACUAUGUACUUGCGAGUAUUUAUUUUAUUCUCUGGGUUACGAUCUAAUACUCUCCCUAUUUAUCUUGUUGCUCAAUUUGUCCCAGCUCUGGGCCACUGGAAAGUUUUUCAGGUUGGCUGCUGUGGGCUUUCAAAAUGCCUCCAACUUGUUAUUUUUUUUUUUUAUUCUUUCUUGAAUAUGUUCUUGAUUUCUGGCACUACCAACUGUUCCUGCUCAUCUUGCAUCCUCCUUACUCCUGGAAUCAGCCAAAUCAGGAAAGCACGUUGCAUUUAGUGAUGAUGCCUUCUUAGUCCCCUUGGGUCUGUGACAAGGGAUUGUGCUUCUGCUCAGGGGAAAAUGGUAUUUAGGAAGUAAGAUCUGGGUGCUGAUGUUCUGCCUGCUCUUGGGGUGCCAUGCUUCCCGACCCUCUUGGGUAACAGAGCUAUGGCCUUUAACCCAACCUUUUUUGUGAUAAGACUCUUCUGUUUGUGGUAGAGCUAUGUCCCAGUGAACCCCACCAUAAGAUGACAAUAUCGUAGGAAAUCAUGCAGUUAAUGCACCUAACCUAUGGAACGUCACUGUGUUCUCUACCAUUCACUGUAGAGAAUCAUGGUCCACCCUGAUGUUCACAUGAUGACUGGGAGCUGGGGAUCCUACCACACAACCCCGGUCUGGAGAAAGAUCAAAGUUAAAAUUCCAAGUAGAGUUUCUACUGACUCUAUUGCUUUUGCAUCAAUACAAAGUUGAAAAAAAUCUAAGCUGUAUUUGUGUGUGCAUACUCCCCAGUGUGUUUAUGUGGGUGUCUGUCUAUUCCUACCUAUAGUGAAAUGAAAGUUCAUACCCUCCUCUACAGCUUUACCUCAACAUAGUCUACCGUUAGUAUACAUUUAGAAUCUGAAAUAAAAUUAUAUGCAAUUUUUUGAUAUAUACAAGUGGUGUUUCUCACAAAUCCUUUCGUUUCACAUUUGUUUUUCUAAAGUCAAGAAAACACCAAACCACAACAAAAACUUGUAUGUAUGUUGGAGAGUGGCAGAUACGAGCUUUAGACCGCCGACUCUGGUAGGCAAAACAUGUUCAUUUCUUUAUUUUUCUUGGAAUAGGACUCUACAUCUUUAUGCAUUCAGGAUAGGAGAGAUUUGAUUUCAGGCCAUCUUGCAGCCCUCUUGUUCUCCCAGGAUAUACCCCAUGGGAGGUUCAUGUGAUGGGAAGGUCUGUGAAGCUGAGAUCCGCCCCGGAGGCUGCGGGCUUGCUCACACUCCAGGCUAGUGGGGCCAGCUCUCUGCUCCCAUGCCCCAGGUGGGAGAGGAACUGGAGCCAAGGCUGAGAGCUGCAGGGCUUGGGACUUACCUUCCAACCCUCCCUGGUGUCACUUCUCCUUGGCCCCUUCUUUGUAUUGUUCAUCCCCCACCCCAAUCUACUUAUUUGUUCAGACUCUGAAAAAUCUCUCCCUUUCCUCUUGUUGCCCACAGAAUCUCUGAAAAC